UACGUAGGUGACCAGCGUUGUCCGGAUUUACUGGGCGUAAAGAGCGCGCAGGCGGUCGUUCAAGUCGAGUGUGAAAGCCCCCGGCUCAACUGGGGAGGGUCACUCGAUACUGAUCGACUGGAAGGCAGGAGAGGGAAGCGGAAUUCCCGGUGUAGUGUUGAAAUGCGUAGAUAUCGGGAGGAACACCAGUGGCGAAGGCGGCUUCCUGGCCUGUUCUUGACGCUGAGGCGCGAAAGCUAGGGGAGCAAACGGG
rnacentral:rRNA from 1 species